rnacentral:lncRNA from 1 species
AAAAAACCAUUCAACAAGAAAAAUUCCACUUGACCACUAUGCACCUCAAGCUCGCGUCGUCCACCUCCGCAAACCCUCCACGACGACGUAAUCGCCGCCCAACCGCGACGUCCAUCUUCCUUUGGUCAGUCUCCUUCUCCCUUUCUGUUUCCUCUUUACUUUUUUGUUUGUUUCCUUUCCUUUGCAUCAAUGAUUUACUAUGUGUUUUGAAAGUGGUAUGAAAAAUAAACGAGAAUAUGAGUAUUUCUUUUCCCUCUCUUCACAUAAUGUUGUUGUUUUUUAACACAAAAAGUUUGUACACGGAUAGCUAGA